GUCAUUUGGUUCUUCCAAUGCAUCAGACAAAGACUACAGAUCAGGGCUAUUUGCUGUGUAAAUAUUGUUAUUACUUAUUAGUAGGGGAAGUGUAAUAGUAUAUUGGUGUAUACGCUACACCAAAUUUACCUGUUGCAGUGUGUAGAUUGGUCCUUUUU